GACGUACGCUGGCGGCGUGCUUAACACAUGCAAGUCGAACGAAGUUGCGAACGGGUGAGUAACGCGUAAUCAACCUGCCCUUCAGAGGGGGAAAACAGUUGGAAACGACUGCUAAUACCGAAUAAUGAUGGAGGGGUUUGCGUCUGAUUAGCUAGUGGGAGGGGUAACGGCCCACCAAGGCUAGGAUAAGUAGCCGGUCUGAGAGGUUGGACGGCCACAUGGGGACUGAGACACGGCCCAGACUCUUAGGGGAGGGAGCAGUGGGGAAUCUUCCGCAAUGGACGAAAGUCUGACGGAGCAACUCCACGGGAGUGAUGACGGCCUUCGGGUUGUAAAGCUCUGUUAAUCGGGACGCAGUACCGGAAUAGAAAGCCAUGGCUAACUACGUGCCAGCAGCCGCGGUAAUUC
rnacentral:rRNA from 1 species